rnacentral:rRNA from 1 species
AGUCGAACGAGACCUUCGGGUCUAGUGGCGCACGGGUGCGUAACGCGUGGGAAUCUGCCCUUGGGUACGGAAUAACUCAGAGAAAUUUGUGCUAAUACCGUAUAAUGUCUUCGGACCAAAGAUUUAUCGCCCAAGGAUGAGCCCGCGUAAGAUUAGCUUGUUGGUGAGGUAAAAGCUCACCAAGGCGACGAUCUUUAGCUGGUCUGAGAGGAUGAUCAGCCACACUGGGACUGAGACACGGCCCAGACUCCUACGGGAGGCAGCAGUGGGGAAUAUUGGACAAUGGGCGAAAGCCUGAUCCAGCAAUGCCGCGUGAGUGAUGAAGGCCUUAGGGUUGUAAAGCUCUUUUACCCGGGAUGAUAAUGACAGUACCGGGAGAAUAAGCUCCGGCUAACUCCGUGCCAGCAGCCGCGGUAAUACGGAGGGAGCUAGCGUUGUUCGGAAUUACUGGGCGUAAAGCGCGCGUAGGCGGUUUUUUAAGUCAGAGGUGAAAGCCCAGUGCUCAACACUGGAACUGCCUUUGAAACUGGAAAGCUUGAAUCUUGGAGAGGUCAGUGGAAUUCCGAGUGUAGAGGUGAAAUUCGUAGAUAUUCGGAAGAACACCAGUGGCGAAGGCGACUGACUGGACAAGUAUUGACGCUGAGGUGCGAAAGCGUGGGG